ACCGGACCCUUCGGGGAGCUUGUACAGGUGCUGCAUGGCUGUCGUCAGCUCGUGUCGUGAGAUGUUCGGUUAAGUCCGCUAACGAGCGCAACCCUCGCUGUGUGUUACAAGUGUCACACGGAACUGCCGGUCAUAAACCGGAGGAAGUGGGAUGACGUCAAGUCAGCAUGGCCUUUAUAUCCUGGGCUACACACACGCUACAAUGGGAAGGGACAAUAGGUUGCGAAGCCGCGAGGCGGAGCCAAUCCAGCAAAACUUCCCUCAGUUCAGAUUGCAGGCUGCAACUCGCCUGCAUGAAGUUGGAGUUGCUAGUAAACGCAGGUCAGCCAUACUGCGUUGAAUACGUUCCCGGGGCUU
rnacentral:rRNA from 1 species